CAGAUCAUUAGGGAUGAAGCUCCCCUUGAAAAUGUUCGAAAUGCUGGAAACGGCUGAUGGCUUCUACAGGAAU
rnacentral:ncRNA from 2 species